rnacentral:rRNA from 1 species
CGCAAUGGGCGCAAGCCUGACAGAGCAAUACCGCGUGAGGGAUGAAGACUUACUGAGUUGUAAACCUCGGUGCCUUAAGGAAGAAGAUCUGACGGUACUUAAGGUGGAAAGCAUCGGCUAACUCCGUGCCAGCAGCCGCGGUAAGACGGGGGAUGCAAGUGUUAUCCGGAUUUACUGGGCGUAAAGCGUCUGCAGGUGGUUUCUUAAGUCUGCUGUUAAAUCUUGAGGCUCAACCUCAAAUCCGCAGUAGAAACUAGGAGACUUGAGUAUAGUAGGGGUAGAGGGAAUUUCCAGUGGAGCGGUGAAAUGCGUAGAUAUUGGAAAGAACACCGAUGGCGAAGGCACUUUACUGGGCUAUUACUGACACUCAGACACGAAAGCUA